AUAGGUUGAUGAAACACAGCAGCAACAAUAAACAAUGAAUUACAAUUUGAGAACACAAUGAUGACAAAAGUGUUCGUUGAAGAUCUUGCCUCUGAAAGACACUGAUAAACUAUCUGCUUUCAGUUUCAUUAAAGACACAAACUUCUAUAUUUGCGUCAAGUCAUUGCAAUUUGUAUUCCCCCAAAUCAUUCCUUCUACCUAACCAAGGCACACUCCAUGCUUGGAGUUGGAAACAAGAACACCAACAUCAAAGACAAAAUCAAGAUCGUGUCCCACCACUGCUCCUCAUAAAGAUUUACAUGAAAGGAAUGAAGUGAAG
rnacentral:lncRNA from 1 species